UAGGGAAUCUUCGGCAAUGGACGAAAGUCUGACCGAGCAACGCCGCGUGAGUGAAGAAGGUUUUCGGAUCGUAAAACUCUGUUGUUAGAGAAGAACAAGGGUGAGAGUAACUGUUCACCCCUUGACGGUAUCUAACCAGAAAGCCACGGCUAACUACGUGCCAGCAGCCGCGGUAAUACGUAGGUGGCAAGCGUUGUCCGGAUUUAUUGGGCGUAAAGCGAGCGCAGGCGGUUUCUUAAGUCUGAUGUGAAAGCCCCCGGCUCAACCGGGGAGGGUCAUUGGAAACUGGGAGACUUGAGUGCAGAAGAGGAGAGUGGAAUUCCAUGUGUAGCGGUGAAAUGCGUAGAUAUAUGGAGGAACACCAGUGGCGAAGGCGGCUCUCUGGUCUGUAACUGACGCUGAGGCUCGAAAGCGUGGGGAGCAAACAGG
rnacentral:rRNA from 2 species